rnacentral:lncRNA from 1 species
UAACCACGACUUCUUUCUCUCAUCACAGAGUCUCUCACUGUGGCUUUUAUAACAUUGUAAAAAAUACUUUGAGUUUUAUUUUUAUUUAUUUAUUUAUUUUUGUGUGACGGAGUCUCACUCUGUCACCCAGGCUGGAGUGCAGUGCAUGAUCUCGGCUCACUGCAAGCUCCGCCUCCCGGGUUCACCUCAUUCUCCUGCCUCAGCCUCCCGAGUAGCUGGGACUACAGGCACCUGCCCACUACGCCCGGCUAAUUUUUAUAUUUUUAGUAGAGACGGGGUUUCACCGUGUUAGCCAGAAUGGUCUCGAUCUCUGCCCGCCUCGUCCUCCCAAAGUGCUGGGAUUACAGGUGUGAGCCACUGCGCCCAGCCUUAAAUUGUUCUUAAUUAUAAUUAUUAUUAUUAUUUGAGUCUCACUCUGUCACCCAGCCUGGAGUGCAGUGGCAUGAUCUCGGCUCACUGAAACUCCUGGGUUCAAGCGAUUCUCUGCCUCAGCCUUGUGGAGGAAUAGUUAAAUAUUACAUGCGAACUCAAUUGGAUGUGGACAGAAACAAUGGUCACCAAGUCCCGGAAGAGGUUGCGUAAGCUCCUUGAGGGGUUCGUCUAGCACUGUUUCAGAGAAAUCCCUAUUUCAGUCUAUUCCUAUACGUUAGUUAUCGAAAAACAAUAGAUAAUUGCAAAAACAAGUCGACCUUUUUGUGUUCUUUGAGCCCCGUCACGAAGGGCCCUCGUAAGUGAACCUCUGCCAAACAACUCGUUACAAAAAGAGCUAGGGUCCCAGACUAUGCGGAAGCUUCAUGAGACUCCUCCUUGCUGCACAGAUGAGUGGCCGACUCUGGAGCCCAGGAUGUUGCUUCCCAGUUUGGUGGUGAAUCCUCCACAGUCUGCUACUUUUUUAUAUCUGUCUCAAGAACUCCAUCUCAAAGAGUAAAUUCAUAUUAUGAAGACUUUAUUCAUAAAGCAGCAGAAGUUUGGGGUUACUCAUUAUGUUAUGCCUCCUACUAACAUAGGACAUUUUGGAGAAGGAAUUCUACUACGAUUUUCCAGGAAACAUGAACUUCUGAGCCAUCUGAGACAAUACCAUCCGCUUGGACUUCCUUGACAUGAACAGAGACAUACGUGAAACUUCAAUUCAGUGAACUUGAAAGGGCACUGGAAUCUUGAUCUCCAUCUUGGUGAUGAAUUUUGGAAAAAGCUAAUUGUACAUUUAAGAUCCAGGGCUAAAUAUUGACCAUGUGACUUGGUAACUUCUGUAAGACUCAGUUUCCAAGUGAGGAACAUCCUUCUAAUGGGAAGUUCUCAAUAAAAGAAAGUAGUUUUCAUAUUUUUUGACUCCA